rnacentral:rRNA from 1 species
UGGCGGCGUGCCUAAUACAUGCAAGUCGAGCGAAUGGAUUAAGAGCUUGCUCUUAUGAAGUUAGCGGCGGACGGGUGAGUAACACGUGGGUAACCUGCCCAUAAGACUGGGAUAACUCCGGGAAACCGGGGCUAAUACCGGAUAACAUUUUGAACCGCAUGGUUCGAAAUUGAAAGGCGGCUUCGGCUGUCACUUAUGGAUGGACCCGCGUCGCAUUAGCUAGUUGGUGAGGUAACGGCUCACCAAGGCAACGAUGCGUAGCCGACCUGAGAGGGUGAUCGGCCACACUGGGACUGAGACACGGCCCAGACUCCUACGGGAGGCAGCAGUAGGGAAUCUUCCGCAAUGGACGAAAGUCUGACGGAGCAACGCCGCGUGAGUGAUGAAGGCUUUCGGGUCGUAAAACUCUGUUGUUAGGGAAGAACAAGUGCUAGUUGAAUAAGCUGGCACCUUGACGGUACCUAACCAGAAAGCCACGGCUAACUA